rnacentral:rRNA from 1 species
AGGACGAACGCUGGCGGCGUGCUUAACACAUGCAAGUCGAGCGAGGCCCGUCCUUCGGGACGGUGCCCUAGCGGCGAACGGGUGAGUAACACGUGGGCAACCUGCCCCUAGCACUGGGAUAACUCCGGGAAACCGGGGCUAAUACCGGAUAUGACCUUUGAGGGCAUCCUCGAAGGUGUAAAGGAUUCUGGCUAGGGAUGGGCCCGCGGCCUAUCAGCUUGUUGGUGGGGUAACGCCUACCAAGGCGACGACGGGUAGCCGGCCUGAGAGGGCGACCGGCCACACUGGGACUGAGACACGGCCCAGACUCCUACGGGAGGCAGCAGUGGGGAAUAUUGCACAAUGGGCGAAAGCCUGAUGCAGCGACGCCGCGUGAGGGAUGACGGCCUUCGGGUUGUAAACCUCUUUCAGCAGGGACGAAGCGAAAGUGACGGUACCUGCAGAAGAGCACCGGCAACUACGUGCCAGCAGCCGA